UACGGAGGGUGCUAGCGUUGUUCGGAAUCACUGGGCGUAAAGCGCGUGUAGGCGGCCUCCCAAGUCUGAUGUGAAAGCCCGGGGCUCACCCCCGGAAGUGCAUUGGAAACUGUGAGGCUCGAGUCCCGGAGAGGAGAGUGGAAUUCCUGGUGUAGCGGUGAAAUGCGCAGAUAUCAGGAAGAACACCCGUGGCGGAAGGCGGCUCUCUGGGACGGUACUGACGCUGAGACGCGAAAGCGUGGGGAGCGAACAGG
rnacentral:rRNA from 1 species